rnacentral:rRNA from 1 species
CUAACUUAGACCCGUUAUCCGGGUUGAGGACAGUGCCUGGUGGGUAGUUUGACUGGGGCGGUCUCCUCCCAAAGAGUAACGGAGGAGCACGAAGGUGGGCUAAUCACGGUUGGACAUCGUGAGGUUAGUGCAAUGGCAUAAGCCCGCUUAACUGCGAGAAUGACGGUUCGAGCAGGUGCGAAAGCAGGUCAUAGUGAUCCGGUGGUUCUGUAUGGAAGGGCCAUCGCUCAACGGAUAAAAGGUACUCCGGGGAUAACAGGCUGAUACCGCCCAAGAGUUCAUAUCGACGGCGGUGUUUGGCACCUCGAUGUCGGCUCAUCACAUCCUGGGGCUGAAGUCGGUCCCAAGGGUAUGGCUGUUCGCCAUUUAAAGUGGUACGCGAGCUGGGUUUAGAACGUCGUGAGACAGUUCGGUCCCUAUCUGCCGUGGGCGUUGGAAGAUUGAAGGGGGCUGCUCCUAGUACGAGAGGACCGGAGUGGACGAACCUCUGGUGUUCGGGUUGUGUCGCCAGACGCAUUGCCCGGUAGCUAAGUUCGGAAUUGAUAAGCGCUGAAAGCAUCUAAGCGCGAAGCGAGCCCUGAGAUGAGUCUUCCCUGACGGUUUAACCGUCCUAAAGGGUUGUUCGAGACUAGAACGUUGAUAGGCAGGGUGUGUAAGCGUUGUGAGGCGUUGAGCUAACCUGUACUAAUUGCCCGUGAGGCUUAACCAU